rnacentral:rRNA from 1 species
GACGAACGCUGGCGGCGUGCCUAAUACAUGCAAGUAGAACGCAGUUGCGAACGGGUGAGUAACGCGUAGGUAACUGCCUCAUAGCGGGGGAUAACUAUUGGAAACGAUAGCUAAUACCGCAUACUGUGAGAUGGACCUGCGUUGUAUUAGCUAGUUGGAGGGGUAAAGGCUCACCAAGACGACGAUACAUUGCCGGCCUGAGAGGAGGAUCGGCCACACUGGAACUGAGACUCGGCCCAGAAUCCUUCGGGAGGCAGCAGUAGGGAAUCUUCGGCAAUGGACGGAAGUCUGACCCAGCCACGCCGCGUGAGUGAAGAAGGUUUUCGGGUCGUAAAGCUCUGUUGUUAGAGAAGCGGUAACUAACAAGAAAGGGACGGCUAACUACGUGCCAGCAGCCGCGGUAAUUC